rnacentral:rRNA from 1 species
GUACACACCGCCCGUCGCUACUACCGAUUGAACGUUUUAGUGAGGUCCACGGACUGUUUGCAGAGCGGAUUAUUCUGCCCUGCUGGCGGGAAGUCGACCAAACUUGAGCGUUUAGAGGAAGUAAAAGUCGUAACAAGGUUUCCGUAGGUGAACCUGCAGAAGGAUCA